rnacentral:misc_RNA from 1 species
GGCACCGAACUAGUUAACCUGACUGAUCGUCAAUGUCCAGUAUGAUGAUGUUGACAAUGUCGUACUGGUCAAGAAUACAAGUAUACAUCCUUUAGAUGCAUGUUGAUUUACCUCUGGAAGUCGGCAAAUCAAAUAGUUCAUAAACGGAAAACUUCAGUUUCAUACAAAAAAAAUUAAUGUGACAAACAUUUAUUCUAUAACUUACUGAUUUCUCUUGCAUAUAAACAGACCAAUCAAUAAAUUCAAGACACAGGCAAUUUGAGGAUAGCUUCUGCUAUAGUUUGCAGAUUCCAGUUGUAUCUGUUUACUGACCUGAAAAGUCUAGUUUACUUACAUAUCAACACUUCGCAAAUCUUGACCGUCUGUCCAGGCUGAUCACUUAAACACUGUUCUAACCUCUCAGUGAGCUUCUUAUUCUUUAUAUCCAUUAAGCAGUUCAAUUAUGUCAGCGACAGUGUAAUCUUAUCACACCAGCUGAAAAUGUUGUUCCUCACCUGAUAUUUCUGGUAAAAGAUUAAGUUCACGCUCCAAACUCCAUAUAGAUUCAUUCUGAUUGUUAAUAUUCACAAUAUACUCCUGGAAGUAACCAUUAAAGGUUAUUACUGAUAGGGUGGCUCUACAAGCAACACAUCCAGUUGAUGUGUCAGCAACCUUGUCCACCUUGCGCACUACCACAUAACUUUUCACUCCUGCAGGAACAGCAUUAUGAAGCACAUGAUGAUGAGCUGGAUCCAGUGCAUCAUUUACAGAAUCAGGCAAUAUUGACCCAAGGAAACUACUUGAUCUUCUACUUCUCUGAUUUAUGGCAAACCCCAGUGAGAAGACAUGAACAGAACCUGAAGAACUUGCUGCUACAAGAAUAUCUGGAAGUUGCGUUGAAGGUCCAAAUGACAAGGAAAAUAUUGUUGAUGGGUAUGUCCCCCUUCUGAAACUAUAUGACUUCGUUGCUUCUAGAACUAGAUGAACUCUGAUUAUAGUUCCCUGCUCAGAUGCUGUAGCAAUGUACAUUCCAUUUGAAGAAAGGGCAACUGCAGCCAAUGGCGCGCGAUGAGCAUCUAUCUCACAAUGUGACUGGACUUCCAUGACAUUGUAGACCAAAACUGAUCCUUUGGUUGUACUAGCAGGAAGAGCCAAGAAGCAACCAUCCAAACUAGGGGAGAAUGCACAAAGUCCUUUUAUAUUUGGAACUGUAUCAAUAGUAUCCAAUAUUGCAAGACUAUUCGAGUCAUAAAUGUAAGUCUUUUCUUGCAAAACAACAACAAGCCUUUUUCUAUUUAAGCGAACAGCAAGAAUAGAAGUUAAAAAAUUCAAUUCCCGGAGAGCAGUUCCAGUGGUAGUAUUGAACAAACAAAGACGCCGUGGGGAUAAAGAAGGCUGCUUGCAUUUCAAUAGCAACCUUAGUCACUAAUAACACUUGAAAGAGCACAGAAGAAGAAGAUUAGUAGCACCUGUUCACCAGCUCCAACAAUAGCAAGAAGACUAGAACUGUACAGCAUUUCAACAAUGAUAAAAGCUCCAACAGCUACGAAAACGAAUACAAGGCAAUUUUAAAGAGCAAAUUAAACAAGAAAAAUCGAAAUUUUUUGAGAAUUUGAAAACCUACCUCGUUCGUAACAGAGACGACCAGUGUUUGGAUCAAAAAUUUUGAACCCAUCACGAGUGCUUACAGCAAAACCGCUAUUGUCUUGAUUGAAAGAAGCGCAGAGGAUUGAAGAGUUGGAGGAGGACUGGGUAGUCAUUCUUGGAUUUUUUGGUGGGGCUUGUGGGGAAGGAGGUGUUUUAAUUUUACAGGGACUUGAUUAUUAGUCAUCAUAUGAAGGUCCGUUGGCUGUUUCGGGGAGGAAAACAGAAAACGGAAUAUGUUGAAAAUAGAAAGUCUCAAAGUCGAGAGGGACAACUUGCGAGGGAAGCAAAUGCUUCCUUCUUUGGGUGCUCCCUG